AUUGAACGCUGGCGGCAUGCUUUACACAUGCAAGUCGAACGGUAACAGGCCUUCGGGUGCUGACGCGUGGCGAACGGGCGCGUAAUGCAUCGGAACGUACCCAGCGGUGGGGGAUAACGCAGCGAAAGCUGUGCUAAUACCGCAUGUGAUCUGAGGAUGAAAGCGGGGGACCGAGCAGCAAUGUUUGGCCUCGCGCCUUUGGAGCGGCCGAUGUCGGAUUAGAUAGUUGGUGGGGUAAAUGCCUACCCGGGCGACGAUCCGUAGCUGGUCUGUGUGGCCGGCCAGCGACACUGGGAGUGGGACACGGCCAUUAGGCCUGAGGUAGGGAGCAGUGGCGUAUGUGAGACAAUAGGGGCAAGCCUGGUCCAGCAAUGCCGCGUGUGGGAAGAAGGCGCUGGGGUUGUGAUCCGGUCUUUGCGGGAGCGAACCGGUGUCCGCUAAUACGGAGCGCGAAUGACGGUACCUGCAGAAUAAGCACCGGCUAACUACGUG
rnacentral:rRNA from 1 species